AACGCUAGCUACAGGCUUAACACAUGCAAGUCGAGGGGCAGCACAGUGUAGCAAUACAUGGGUGGCGACCGGCGCACGGGUGCGUAACGCGUAUCCAACCUUCCCGUUACUCAGGGAUAGCCUUCCGAAAGGGAGAUUAAUACCUGAUGGUGUUCAAAUUCCGCAUGCUAUUUGAACUAAAGAUUUAUCGGUAACGGAUGGGGAUGCGUGACAUUAGGUAGAUGGCGGGGUAACGGCCCACCAUGCCUACGAUGUCUAGGGGUUCUGAGAGGAAGGUCCCCCACACUGGAACUGAGACACGGUCCAGACUCCUACGGGAGGCAGCAGUGAGGAAUAUUGGUCAAUGGUCGGAAGACUGAACCAGCCAAGUAGCGUGAAGGAUGAAGGUUCUAUGGAUUGUAAACUUCUUUUAUACGGGAAUAAAACCACCUACGUGUAGGUGCUUGUAUGUACCGUAUGAAUAAGCAUCGGCUAACUCCGUGCCAGCAGCCGCGGUAAUACGGAGGAUGCGAGCGUUAUCCGGAUUUAUUGGGUUUAAAGGGAGCGUAGACGGGAGAUUAAGUCAGUUGUGAAAGGCUGCGGCUCAACCGCAGCACUGCAGUUGAUACUGGUUUCCUUGAGUUCGGUUGAGGUGUAUGGAAUUCGUGGUGUAGCGGUGAAAUGCUUAGAUAUCACGAAGAACUCCGAUUG
rnacentral:rRNA from 1 species